rnacentral:rRNA from 1 species
AAAAGGCUUUGAUUUUGGGCCAGAUAGAAGGCGAGCGGCACUUAUAAUACAUGCUAGUCGAGUGGUUAAGACCCACGGCGUACAGGUGAGUAAUUUUCUGGAACCAACCAAUUGGACCUGUUGAACAGGAUAAAAAAUUAAAUUGUCAGUUGAUGGGCCAGAAUCGUAUUAGGUAGAAGGCGGGACAAAAGCCAGCCUUGCCAAAGAUGCGUAGCUGAAGGGCCACACUCUCACUGAAACAAGGGGGAGACUCAGAAAGAGGCAGCAGUAGAGAAUAUUGUGCAAUAUACGAAAGUAUGACACAGAGAUGUCGCAUAUAUAGACUGUCAAAUAUACGUGCCAGCAGACGCGGUUAUACGUAAGGUCUAAGUCUUUAUCGGAAAAUAGGCGUAAAGGGUGUGUAGGCGCUAAUUGAGUUAAUUCAGGUAAAUAGAACUUUUAUGUAGCGGUAGAAUGCUUUUAUAUAAAAUGGAAUACCAGAGGCGAAGGCGAUUUACUAAAAAAACUAACGCUGAGACACGAAAGUGUAGGGAGCAAACAGGAUUAGAUACCCUGGUAGUCUACACUGUAAACUAUGAGUGUGAGAUGUAGUUUAUAUCACAGAAAACUCGAGACCACUCCGCCUGAAGAGUACGAUCGCAAGAUUAAAAUUCAAAAAAUUUGGCGGUUCACUAUUCCGAUUAGAGGAGCGUGUAGUUUAAUUCGACAUUACGCGAGUAACCUUACCAAAACUUGCAUAAUUAAAAUUACGGGUUAACCAAUCCGGUGUCUAAAUGACUAUUAUUUACAGGUAUUGCAUGGCCGUCGUCAGUUCGUGUUGUGAAAUCAAUAGAACGAACGCAACCCUUAUUAGUUAUUGCAGACUCCACGUAAAUCAUUUUACGAGGGGCUGGGCUAUCUAAAAUGAGGUCGACGUCAGGUCCUUAUGAUCCUAAUGUUUUGGGCUACAUAUGCGCUACAUUGCUAUGUACAAAGGAAGAACAACAAUGAAGUCCUAAAGUAUAAGUACGAAAGUAGGCCUGAAAUGGUCUUCUGAAGUUGGAUUUAAUAGUAAUCGGAAAGUAGAGCGUUCCGGUGAAUAAGGCUCUAGUGUUCGUACAAAUCGCCCGUCACCUCAUCCCAGUUGAAUGCUCCCGAAGUGUUAAAAAGGUCUCUAAAUCUAGGGCAUAUAUUACAAUGUUUAGGUCGAUACUAUUUAUAGACUCCUACUUAACAUCACGGAAGUUCGAUGAGGAUGAGUAAGUCGUAACAUAGCUGCAGUACUGGAAAGUGUUGCAGGACUCAU